GACGAACGCUGGCGGCGUGCUUAAUACAUGCAAGUAGGACGCAGUUGCGAACGGGUGAGUAACGCGUAGGUAACUGCCUAUGAGAGGGGGAUAACUAUUGGAAACGAUAGCUAAUACCGCAUACUAGUAGAUGGACCUGCGUUGUAUUAGCUAGUAGGUAGGGUAAUGGCCGACCUAGGCGACGAUACAUAGCCGACCUGAGAGGGUGAUCGGCCACAUAGGGACUGAGAAACGGCCCAGACUCCUACGGGAGGCAGCAGUGGGGAAUCUUCGGCAAUGGGGUGAACCCUGACCGAGCAACGCCGCGUGAGUGAAGAAGGUUUUCGGAUCGUAAAGCUCUGUUGUUAAGGACGCGGUACUUGACCAGAAAGGGACGGCUAACUACGUGCCAGCCGCCGCGGUAAUAC
rnacentral:rRNA from 1 species